AAUUUAUAACUUUUUCAUUUGGGUUUAAAGAAAGGGGCCUAGUGGGUUAGUGUAGCAUUUAUUAAAUGGGCAUUUGGGUCUCAUAUAAUUGAGUUUGUUGAUUGGUAUUUGGUGCAUAUGAUUAGGUGGGAAGAAUGGGAUUUGGAGAGGUUGGUUGCAUCAAUGAAGCAGAGAUCUUGUUUGGGUUUAGUUUGCAGGAGUUUCUAUUUGAUUUUGAUUUGUUUAGGGGCUUGUAAGUAACACUUUCUAGAUGGGUUUGUUGUGGGUCUCAGUCAAUGACCGACUUUUGAGUUUUAAACGCUGAUGAUAGUGAGAGAGUGAAUUAUUGAAAGUGUAAGGCUGGCUCUCUGUGUUUUGAAUUAUUGAAAAGUGAAAGGUGUGGUAAUUAAAAGGUUUGUAAAAAAGUGGUAAUAUGUCCUAUCGGUGUUCUUUCACUAUUUAAAUUUUUUUUUUCCUUGAAUUAUUGGAGAGAGAGAGAGAUAGAGGUGGUGUCAAUGCUGAAUGGUUGUGUUGAAUGAGGGGUUGGUAAAUAUUUGUAGAAUUUUUGACCGUAGGGAAGUUGAGUAAUUGUAAGUGUUGCAGGGAAUUGGGAAACACUUAACUGUCUUUACUGAAUUGAAUUGAAGGUGAUAACAUUUUAUGAAUGGUGGGGACUGGUGACCCCUUUAUAAAUACCAAACUCAGAAGUAAUGGAUAGGAUCUCUAGAAUACAAAAGGUUGCAGAUAAGUUCUAUCUCUUGGUCCUAAUGAAAGAGGAACUCUUUUAGGUGUAUCUUGAGAUUGGAAUUCUGAAAAUCUGGGUGUUUUUGACCUAUAGGGAUGAAGAUUGAUUUAUGAGUCUUAUAGGCCAAAAAGGUCGAAUAUUGUUCUUUUGGGAUGCUUCCCUCUUGCAUAUUUGAGCCGUAGGUGUAGUGUUUUGACAUUGUUUUCUGAAAGAUCAUUUGGGUUUGCCUUCUGUGAUAUACCAAUCAUCAGAAGCAAAGAAGAAAGCUUGGAAGGAUGCAGUGACCAGUUUAUUGUGCAUCUUUUGGCUAUUCCCUGUUGCUGAUGGAGUGGAAUGAGAAAUCCCCCUCACAGUGGGAGUGGGAGAAUCUGUUCAUGUUCAAUGCUAAAGCCACUGAAAAUUCCAAGUUGCAAGAAAUAGAAUGGGGUAUGCAAGGAGAUCAGGGAAUUAACUCUGGUUCUUUUUAUUCGUCUGUGGGUGGUGAGGGGAGCGAUGGGUCUGGCCCUGAGUUGGGACAUGCUUCUCCAUCGAAGAGCUCGAAAUCAGCUUCCAUCAAUUCUUCAUCAAUGGGCGAAAGUAAGCCAUCCAAACUCACUUUUGAGGCCUUCGGAGGUUUCCCAAAUGAUUUGAGCAACAAGAAAGAAUUAGCCAAGGUUGAGCCAAAGAGAAUUUCUAGAACACUUGAGCCUUCAUCUGGCUGUGGUGAGCCAUUGCUCAGUCUAAAGCUUGGUAAGCAGAUAUACUUUGAAGACGCUUGUGUGGGAAGCAAUACAGAGACCUCAACUUUUUCUAUGAUUCCCAUGCCAUCUGUGACCACAGCAAAGAAAUGUAAGACCAGUUUUCAGAGUACUACACCACGCUGCCAAGUUGAAGGCUGUAACCUUGAACUCUCAUCAGCUAAAGAUUACCAUCGCAAACAUAGAGUUUGUGAAAGUCAUUCCAAAUCCCCCAAGGUCAUUGUAGGUGGUCUGGAACGUCGGUUUUGUCAGCAAUGUAGCAGGUUCCAUGGUCUGUCAGAGUUUGAUGAAAAGAAGCGAAGCUGUCGCAGGCGUCUUUCUGAUCAUAAUGCUAGGCGGCGCAAGCCACAGCCAGAAGCAGUCCGGUUAAAUCCAGCAAGGCUGCCUUCAUCACUUUAUGAUGGGAAGCAACAGAUGAGCCUUGUCUUCAACAAAGGUCCCCUUGCUUACCCAAGGUCUGCUGGUUUUACAUGGGAGGACAUGUGCAGCUCCAAGAUUAACCAAACAAAAGAGUAUCCUCUAAAGCCUGCAAAAGCAAGAGACAGUGAUAUACAAUUGCAUUUGCCCAGCAAUGAAUUGCCACGUUCCAUCAAUACACUUUGUCAUGAUUCGAGUAGGCUCUUGCCAUCCAAGGGAACCAUAGCUGAGGCUCUCAACCCAGGUUUAGGAGAAUCCAUGAUGUCCACUGAUCUGGAUGCAUCACAGGAUUUUCGACGUGCUCUCUCUCUUCUGUCAACAAAUUCUUGGGAUUCACAGGAGUCAAAACCAGCUAGACACCCACACUCCAACCAUACAAGUCAAUCUAACAUGCCGCAGCCUCUUACGCAUGCUAUGACCCAAGGCUUGCCACAUACUUCAUCAGAACACUGGCGGACCGAGCAACAGUCCACUGAGUCCCAAGUUCAUAUCCUAGGUUCACCUAACAAUGGCAGCAGCCAUUUUCAAGAAUUCCAGCUGUUCAAAGAACCCUAUGAAUUUGGCUUUUAUUCCAAUUGAUUGGAUUGACCACUCAAAACCCAAUCAACAGUUCGUAGACUAAAGUACGUUACACAUAUUCGGGUUGUUGGCUACCCCAUAUUCCCAAGCUGAAGAUGACUCACUGCUAUAGGAAGGCUAACAGGUGCGUUGAUGCAUUAGCUAAGCCUGGUGCUAAUCAGGCUUUGGAGUUUGUUAUUUACAGUUCCCCUCCGCCUUUCUUGGCAGAGGUCUUUUGUUAUGACUUUGCUGGUCUGUACCUUAACAGGCCCUGUCCUGAAUCUAUUUCGCUUUCUUAGUCUUAAAAUAUUCGUUUUUUUACCCAGGGUUAUAUGGUUAAAAUAGUACUUAUUUGUGAA